GUCGCCAUGCAUGUGCUACAGAACUCAUAUGCUCAAGGAGCUAACAAAUGGAGUAACAGACUAAAUUUAUUUCUGCAGUAAUUAUAUUUUUCAAAGUUAACCUCAUACAAGCAAAGAGUAGAACCGUGGUUGUCAGAAGCUGGGGAGACCGUGAGGAGGAAAGAAUGGGGAAAGAGUUUAUUCAUGAAUUUCUGAGAUACAGAGCAUCUCUCCUUAGCCUGAGCACUCUGAGAGGACAGAGAUUCUACUGAUCACCAUCAUAACGCGGAGUGUGAAAUGCCCACGUGGAUAAGAAUCCUUGACUCAUGGUCGAAGCCCAGUAAAUACUGGGGUUUACGUGACACCGGACCACGGCUGACACAAAGGAGGUGCUUAACGAGAUUUUUGCUCCAAUGAAUGGCAUUAACAUGUUUUAUAGCUGGCUUAUGCCUGCAGAAGAAGCUUAUGCCUUGAGAACUUUAGAAUAGCCUGUACUUGAUUCCCGGAGACAGCACAACGCACAACAGUUGCCAAGGAUUUUAUCCUUCUUUACACAGUCUAGUUCAGAAUAAAGCAGCUAACAAGAUUUUUUUAACACUUCAGACGUGAUUGUUCCUUAAGUAUUUUCUGCUUUGAAGAAUUACAUGCCAAAGUCUUAUUCUUAGCUACAGUAUUGCUUCUUUUGGUAUUAGGAUCCCAAUCUUCCACACACUUACAGAGAAAAGGUGAAAUAUUCAUUAUUGGGUUAUCAGCAAUAGUACAUAUAUGUUAUGUGAAAGAAACCAGACGCCACACACACUUAAAUAUUGAGAGAUUUCUCCCACGUGAGAAACCCAAAAUAUAGAUAGCAGAAUAACAGAGAAUUCCUAGGAAGCAGGGAGAGAGAGCUCCUGAAAGAGGGAAAGGGACCAAGAGGGUGGAGUGAGGGAAGCGUCGGGAGGGUGACAGAAAGCAGAAGUGAGAAGUGUUCCGCACAUGUGCCGGUUUUCCGUGAGGAAUGCAAUCGCUAUGUUCUCCAAACAUGUACAAACAGAACUAAAAGUGGAAAAGCAAAUAUUUACAGAAAUGACUUUCCACGCUCGAUUACUACGACUUAAAGGUGGCCUAAAUCUUCUGUGGACACAAUAUUUUGUUCGUAGAGUUGCUAGUGACUGUAAUUAGAUUUUAAUAAAAUUGUGACCAGAACAAGGAGAAGCAAUUAUUGGAGUGAGCCCUGCCUUGGCCUUAGAGGUGGACAGAGCCCCGAGAAGGCAGCGAUCAGAAUCCUCAGCAGACGGAAGGAGUUCAUUC